rnacentral:rRNA from 1 species
AUUGAACGCUGGCGGCAUGCUUUACACAUGCAAGUCGAACGGUAACAGGGAGCUUGCUCCGCUGACGAGUGGCGAACGGGUGAGUAAUGCAUCGGAACGUGCCGUGUAGUGGGGGGAUAACGUAGCGAAAGUUACGCUAAUACCGCAUACGCCCCGAGGGGGAAAGUGGGGGGACCGCAAGGCCUCACGCUAUACGAGCGGCCGGUGUCGGAUUAGCUAGUUGGUAGGGUAACGGCCUACCAAGGCCACGAUCGGUAGCUGGUCUGAGAGGAUGAUCAGCCACACUGGGACUGAGACACGGCCCAGACUCCUACGGGAGGCAGCAGUGGGGAAUAUUGGACAAUGGGCGCAAGCCUGAUCCAGCAAUGCCGCGUGUGUGAAGAAGGCCUGCGGGUUGUAAAGCACUUUCAGUGGGGGAAGAACGGAUACGGGCCAAUACCCGCAUCACUGACGUUACCCGAAUAAGAAGCACCGGCUAACUACGUGCCAGCAGCCGCGGUAAU